ensembl:snoRNA SNORD31 Small nucleolar RNA SNORD31
CUAGUCGGUGUGAUGACUGAAUUACCGCCCCAGUCUGAUUUAGCUGACUGAAUGGUACCCUCUGACCUCA